rnacentral:rRNA from 1 species
CUACGGGGGGCUGCAGUGGGGAAUAUUGGACAAUGGGGGAAACCCUGAUCCAGCAAUGCCGCGUGUGUGAAGAAGGCCUGCGGGUUGUAAAGCACUUUCGGUUGGGAGGACUGCUUCUAGCACUAAUAUUGUUGGAAGUUGACGUUACCUUCAGAAGAAGCACCGGCUAACUCCGUGCCAGCAGCCGCGGUAAUACGGAGGGUGCAGGCGUUAAUCGGAAUUACUGGGCGUAAAGCGCGCGCAGGCGGCUAGAUCAGUCGGGUGUGAAAGCCCCGGGCUUAACCUGGGAACUGCAUCCGAUACUGUCUAGCUUGAGUACAGGAGAGGAGAGUGGAAUUCCACAUGUAGCGGUGAAAUGCGUAGAUAUGUGGAGGAACACCAAUGGCGAAGGCAGCUCUCUGGCCUGAUACUGACGCUGAGGUGCGAAAGCGUGGGGAGCAAACAGGAUUAGAUACCCCGGUAGUC